rnacentral:lncRNA from 1 species
GUUCACGUGGAGAACUGGACAAACACUGGUAUGAGAGCAGCCCCCGUUUAUUGGUGGAGGAGACAUUCCAAGAUGCUCACUGAAUGCUGGAAACCAUAUUCAACUGUGGAUAUGCUAUAUUCAUACCUGGGAUACUGUCUAAUUUAUAUAUUAGAUCAUUACAGAGCUGGUUGGAGACAUUUCCUUGGACACUGUCUUUCCCAGCUCAAUUUCUAACAUCCUGAAAUUUGAUAGCCAAACGGAAUGUCUAGACACAUUAUUAAAAAAAGGACAAACACAUAUAUCCAGAAGAUGUCCCAACCAGUAAGAAGGACACAUGCUCCACUAUGUUCAUAGCAGCCUUAUUUAUAAUAGCC